GACAGAGGGGGCAAGCGUUGCUCGGAAUCACUGGGCGUAAAGGGCGCGUAGGCGGCUCGGCACGUCCGUUGUGAAAUCGCCCGGCUCAACUGGGCGGGGUCAGCGGAUACGGCCGAGCUUGAGCAAGCUAGGGGGCAAUGGAAUUCCCGGUGUAGUGGUGGAAUGCGUAGAUAUCGGGAGGAACACCAGUGGCGAAGGCGGUUGCCUGGAGCUUUGCUGACGCUGAUGCGCGAAAGCGUGGGGAGCGAUCCGG
rnacentral:rRNA from 1 species